ACCCCCUCGGGAUCACCCCUUGAAAGUUUCCAGUACUCUACCAGUCUCAGCUAAAGGAGGGAGAGAGAGUCAAACAGAGGCAUACCCAUUCCAUUCCUAGCUUGGGCAGUGGCUAGUGAGUGGAAGGCAAUCUGCUACAAGU